GAAAUAUAGAAUCUAAAAUAGGAAAAACAGCUAUGAUCCAUACAAUGUAACAAAACUUCUAACUAGCAAAAAUCUAUUCAUAUGCUUUACCGUUACUUGCUAGUAUACUGUAUAUGUGCUGACAAUAUAAGCUGCUUACUGAGCACGGUCAAUCACAUAUAUUGCAGGAUCUCCUUACUUGAUGCAGCUAUAGGAGACAGACCAACUGAAGUCUGGGCAACAAGAUAAAGAAAUAAUGAAAGAAGGAAAAAAUUACAGAAAGCUAUGCCAUUCUAACUUCUUAUUUAAACCUUUAGGGGACAAUGUUUCAAGCUCAACUGUCCAUUUAGUUUCUCUUUGCAGGAGCAACUUGUUUCUGUCUGAUCGUGAUCAAUGAUAAAGUAUCUUAGGUCUGAUACUCUGUGUCCACUUUCCUGAAAGUGGCGUGCCACUGGUUGAUCGGAUUCUCCUUUUUCUAUAGCUUGGCAGAUGGCACUCUGAUGAUUCACCAUUCUUGUCUUUAAGGUAUCACUCAUUUUACCGACAUAGAAAAAACUACAGGGACAAUGGAAUAUAAAUUGAAAAACUGAAGACAUACACACUCAACUGGAUAUUCAAUGCUUUGGCAUAACCCAAAGACUGGAACUGAUUAAAAUCUGAGAAAUAUCGCCAAUAGAAAGAUGGCAAAAUGGAUUGUUAACCAAUGAUCAUCAUACUAUUUAUUGAAUGUACAUGUAAUGUUCUUCAUCUAAAUACAAAUAUUAAAAAAAAACAA